rnacentral:rRNA from 1 species
UACGGAGGGUGCGAGCGUUGUUCGGAAUCACUGGGCGUAAAGGGCGUGUAGGCGGUCCGCUAAGUCUGAUGUGAAAGCCCGGGGCUCACCCCCGGAAGGGCAUUGGAAACUGACGGACUCGAGUCCCGAAGAGGAGGGUGGAAUUCCUGGUGUAGCGGUGAAAUGCGUAGAUAUCAGGAGGAACACCUGUGGCGAAGGCGGCCGACUGGGCCGACCCUGACGCUGAGGCGCGAAGGCGUGGGGAGCGAACGGG